GGUCCGUUGCUAAGACUGGAUAGGAAAUAAAAAGGCAUCUUUUUAUUUUUAAAAGACCUUUUUCGGAAGGUAUGCUUAAAGAGGGGCUUGCGGCACAUUAGUUAGUUGGUAGGGUAAAGGCCUACCAAGACUAUGAUGUGUAGCUGGACUGAGAGGUUGAACAGCCACAUUGGGACUGAGACACGGCCCAAACUCCUACGGGAGGCAGCAGUAGGGAAUUUUCGGCAAUGGAGGAAACUCUGACCGAGCAACGCCGCGUGAACGAUGAAGUAUUUCGGUAUGUAAAGUUCUUUUAUUGAAGAAGAAAAAAUAGUGGAAAAACUAUCUUGACGCUAUUCAAUGAAUAAGCCCCGGCAAACUAUGUGCCAGCAGCCGCGGUAAUACAUAGGGGGCAAGCGUUAUCCGGAAUUAUUGGGCGUAAAGGGUGCGUAGGCGGUUUAAUAAGUCUAUAGUUUAAUUUCAGUGCUUAACACUGUUCUGCUAUAGAAACUAUUAAACUGGAGUGAGAUAGAGGCAAGUGGAAUUCCAUGUGUAGCGGUAAAAUGCGUAAAUAUAUGGAGGAACACCAGAGGCGUAGGCGGCUUGCUGGGUCUUUACUGACGCUGAGGCACGAAAGCGUGGGGAGCAAACAGGAUUAGAUACCCUGGUAGUCCACGCCGUAAACGAUGAGUACUAAGUGUCGGGGUUACUCGGUACUGAAGUUAACACAUUAAGUACUCCGCCUGAGUAGUACGUACGCAAGUAUGAAACUUAAAGGAAUUGACGGGACUCCGCACAAGCGGUGGAUCAUGUUGUUUAAUUCGAAGAUACACGAAAAACCUUACCAGGUCUUGACAUACUCUGCAAAGCUAUAGCAAUAUAGUGGAGGUUAUCAGGGAUACAGGUGGUGCAUGGUUGUCGUCAGCUCGUGUCGUGAGAUGUUAGGUUAAGUCCUAAAACGAGCGCAACCCUUGUCACUAGUUGCCAGCAUGUUAUGAUGGGCACUUUAGUGAGACUGCCAAUGAAAAAUUGGAGGAAGGUGAGGAUCACGUCAAAUCAUCAUGCCCCUUAUGAUCUGGGCUACAAACGUGAUACAAUGGCUGUUACAAAGAGUAGCUGAAACGCAAGUUAAUAGCCAAUCUCAUAAAAACAGUCUCAGUUCGGAUUGAAGUCUGCAACUCGACUUCAUGAAGUUGGAAUCGCUAGUAAUCGCGAAUCAGCAUGUCGCGGUGAAUACGUUCUCGGGGUUUGUACACACCGCCCGUCA
rnacentral:rRNA from 1 species